UGGGGAAUAUUGGGCAAUGGGCGCAAGCCUGACCCAGCGACGCCGCGUGGGUGAUGAAGGCCUUCGGGUCGUAAAGCACUGUCGGGAGGAAAGAACGAUCGUAGGGUGCAUAGCCCUACGAUGUGACGGUACCUCCGAAGGAAGCACCGGCCAACUCCGUGCCAGCAGCCGCGGUAAGACGGAGGGUGCAAGCGUUGCUCGGAAUCAUUGGGCGUAAAGGGUGCGUAGGCGGCCCGCCCAGUCUGCCGUGAAAGCCCAGGGAUCAGCCCUGGAAGGGCGGUAGAGGCUGGGGGGCUGGAGUGCCGGGGGGGAGGGUGGAAUUCCCGGUGGAGCGGUGAAAUGCGUAGCUAUCGGGAGGAAUACCGGUGGCGAAGGCGACUCUCUGGACGGCAACUGACGCGGAGGCACGAAAGCGUGGGGAGCAAACAGG
rnacentral:rRNA from 1 species